rnacentral:rRNA from 1 species
GACGAACCGUGCGAACGUUGUUCGGAAUCACUGGGCUUAAAGGGCGCGUAGGCGGGCGAUCAAGUCCGGGGUGAAAUCUUUCGGCUUAACCGGAAAAGUGCCUUGGAUACUGAUCGUCUGGAGGGAGGUAGGGGCAUGUGGAACUUCCGGUGGAGCGGUGAAAUGCGUUGAUAUCGGAAGGAACGCCGGUGGCGAAAGCGACGUGCUGGACCUCUUCUGACGCUGGAGGCGCGAAAGCUAGGGGAGCAAACAGG